rnacentral:rRNA from 1 species
UCGUGUCGUGAGAUGUUGGGUUAAGUCCCGCAACGAGCGCAACCCUCACCUCUUGUUGCCACCAGGUCAUGCUGGGCACUCUAGAGGAACUGCCCCGGUCAACGGGGAGGAAGGCGGGGAUGACGACAAGUCAUCAUGCCCCUUACGUCCUGGGCUACACACGUGCUACAAUGGCCGGUACAAAGGGGUGCCACACCGCGAGGUAGAGCUAAACCCAAAAAGCCGGUCUAAGUUCAGAUUGGAGUCUGCAACUCGACUCCAUGAAGGAGGAAUCGCUAGUAAUCGC